rnacentral:lncRNA from 1 species
CCUCUCGCUGCUGCAUUUGUGCUCAGGAGAAAUAAAACCCAGGCGCACGCGCGCGCGCACACACACACACACACACACAUCCGAUAUAGCAUCAUGCCUGCCGCGCUUCCCCGUCAUCCACGAGGUCCAAGUUUCUACCUGGCAUCCCAGGCCCACCCCGAGCGGGUCCAGCCUGCUUCCCAACCUCAUCGCUCACUCUUGGACACCGUGCAACGCGGCGAGAAUCUCCCCCCGCCUUUCUCCGAGUCGGGCCCUCAGCCCUAGACCUGGCCUUCUGGAGUGUGCGUGCCCAAAGCCCCAGCCCUGCAGACUCAGAGCCUCUCCACAAGCCCUGGAGGCAACUUUUAGGUGCUCGGAGCUGCGGGCUGCUCCUCUGAAGUCUCCCCACUCGGUGCCUCGGUCUCACCCGCGGGCACCUCCUCCGUCUCUGUUCAGACAGCAGCCUCUCCUUCUCAAGCCCAGGAAACCGCUUCCCUCUCUGCCUCCCCUUAGCGCUUGCUGCAGACUUGUCAUAACACAGCUCUGUCUGCAGAUGCUCCGUCUCUGCGGCUGGAUUACAAACUCCUCGCGAUGAGGAAGCUCCGUCCCCUCGAGUAACUGCACCUUCUCUCUGUUUCCACGACGGAAACCCGUCGCUGGCCGCGUCCCCCGCUCCCCGUGGCCGCUGAGCGCGCUUGGCGUCAGACUCACAGCUCAAGUGUCACCAUUACCAAGGCUGUCCUUGGCCAUGGAUCCAGGCGCUUUUUCCCCCUGGAUGUGACCUAUUUUAAUUUCUAUUGGCUUUGCCCAGUUUAAAAACCCAUAUGUGGCCAUUUAUUUUAUAUGUUUCUGCUGCCAGCUGCCUCAGAUCCUUUCUGGAAGAAGGUGAGGGAGCUAAAUUAUUCAUCUCAGGCUUCUCACCACCCAGGACAGCGUCUGACAGGUAGAAAAUGCUCCAUAACUGUUGGUUAAAUUUAAUCAAAGGCAUAAAGUUAUGUGGGGUCCGUGACAGCGAUUUGACUCCUCGCUUGGAGGACUUUUUUGCUCACUCCUGGUUUUAUCACGGAGCUCCAGCGCUGACACUGCUGGAGGAGGGCCUGAGGGACACGUGCCUGUUGCUGCACAAAAUCCACUUGAUCUCGGCCACCCAAUUCGAUCAAUUUUCUACCUUGAUCUGGGCGCGCCCUGUUUUGGGAACUUGGGCUGCCCAUCAACACUGUAAUCUGGGAUUCAUCUUUUUGUUUGUCUGUUUGUUUGUUUGUUUGUUUAGGGCCACACCCAUGGCAUAUGGAGGUUCCCAGGCUCAGGGUCGAAUCAGAGCUGUGGCUGCCGGCCUACACCACAGCCACAGCAACGCCAGAUCUGAGCCAUGGUCUGCAACCUACACCACAGCUCACGCAACGCCGGAUCCUGAACCCACUGAGCAAGGCCGAGGAUCGAACCCGACACCUCGUGGUUCCUAGUCGGUUUCGUUUUCACUGCGCCAUGACGGGCACUCUCUGUGAUUAAUCUUAAAAGAUGGUGAACAGGGAGAAAUGUGCCGAGAUUGGGAAGGAAGCCGUCUCAGGGAAGGGGAGGGAAAGGGUUCAGAUGAGAGGGCACAGCAUGGAGCCCAGACUGAGGACAGGGUGCUGAGAUGAGGACACGAGCGGAGUAAACAGCACGUGUAGGAGCCACCGGGAGAAGAAGGAUUCUUGUGUCCUGGGAGUUCCCGCUGUGGUGCACCAGGUUAAGGACCCAGUGUUGUCUGGGUGGUGGAGAGGGUUUAACUUCCAGCUGGCGCAAUGGGUUAAGGGUCUGGCGUUGUGGCCGCUGUGGCGCACCCAUGUGCCAUGGGUGGGGGAAAAAAAAAUCCUUGUGUCCUGAAGACACACCCCUGUCAUAUCUCCAAGUCCUGCUGGAAAGAUGAGCAUGCUCAAGCAGCGUUGAAAACGUCAACUUCAGAUAAUAAAACUUUGAAGAGAUAUGGAGAAAAUCCUUGAGAAAGGAAAAAAAUGUCACUUUUUAUACUCAUUUUUUUUUUUAAAAAAUUACAUCUAAUAUUUCCUUAAGAAAAGCCAUCUUUUCCAUCGUGGCGCAUCAUGUCUGAGGAAAUGACAGCAGCACCCUAGUCUAUAUAAAUUGGAGAUUUUCUUCCCGAGGAAACACAUGAACAUGUGUAGUCUUGACUUUCUGUUGUCACCUCAACUAUCUAAACAAGCCCCUCAUGCUUUCGGUUAGUUAUUUUCAAAGCAUCAUUCAAUUGGAAUUUUUUUCCUUUGAAGAAAAAUAAAGGGACGCUAACCUAUCAACUGUUACACAGCCGCUGCCGCCGUAUAAAACCACAAGUCUCAUUUAAAUUUGCUUCCAACGUCUUUGUUUCAAUCAAAAAUAUCAAUUCAAUGUGUUGUCUCCAUGAAAACCUAGAGAAUCUGGGAUGAUUCUUUGAACAAGAUAAAAGAAAGGUGUUGCUAUUAAAUAGAAUAAAAAUGGAAAGUUUGUCAAAACGAAUUUGCUUACAUUGCUACUGUGCGCCAUGAGAGAUGACAGAAAUCCUGGUGGAUUAUAACAAAAUACGGCUCUUGCCCCAAAAACGAAAUUAACGGAGGAACCAGGAGUUACCCUUUGGGCUCUCUGGUUGGUGUGUGUUGUCCCAGGCGGCGACCUGUCAGCACUGGCUCGAAGUUUGCUCUCAGCCUCAGAGGAUUAUGGGUCCAGGGCGGGGCUGUCGCCCAGUGGACCUGGUUAACCUGGGGUCUGAGGUCGGCUGGCAGGGGAUAUUAGAUUAGGAUCAGAGUCAAGCGUGUGUGCCAGUCCCUCAAGAGCAAAGGUGCCUUCUGCUCAGCUGCCGCCGAGUUGAAACUCAGGCAGGUUUCUACUUUGUCAUCCGCAGCUUCAGCCAAUGGCACCCAUCCCCUCAUUAUUAAUUUUUUUCUUUUUAGGGUCGCACCUGCGGCCUACGGAGGUUCCCAGGCUAGGAGUCCAAUUGGAGCCGCAGCGGCCGGCCUACACCACAGCCAAAGCAACACCAGAUCCUUAACCCACUGAGUGAGGCCAGGGAUCGAACCUACAUCCUCACGGAUACCAAUCGGGUUCUUAAACCUCUCUAUUCACCUUUUUCCAUCCUGGAGUUGUGAUGGGAUCCUGACCCUCCUUCUCAUUUCAAAGUCACUGCAGAUUAAAAUGUCCUGAAAAGAUUAGGAGGGGAUGUGACCUGGCAGAAUGCAGCCUGCAUCUCAGCCUCAGUAAGGGCGGGGCCUCCCUAAGGCAGAUGAAGACGUGCGGUUACAAGAUCAGGGCUUUUGCUGCUGCUGAGAUAAAGCACGUGUUGGAGGAAGAAGCCUCUCUGGACUGACAGAGCAGAGCUCACCAAGACCGGAGCUCCUCACACCCAGGGCCGGGACCCCCAGCCUCCCCCGGGCCCCUCCACCUCCCUCUCCUGGUAGCAGGCAAGGCUCCAGACGCCUUGUUUGCCUAAGCGAUUGUUACUUUGAAUCAAGACUGUGGCCUCUUCUCCCCAGGUGCACUCUCGAUGGGGAGGUCGGGCAUCACUGUCAGUCUGAAGAUGAGCCAAGGGAAAUCAGGAGGGCGAAGCUCAUCGAGAGAGUCCCCACUGCAGCCACACUUGGCAUCUUAUCUCAGCAUCACAGGUGCACCGCGAGCUUCCCUGAGGGCCCUGCUUGAACGCUUUCCAACGUCUCGAGCACAGGCACAACCCAGGAGUGUGCCAGCCUCUUUCCCAGCUCUGAAAUUAGAUGUAGUCGCUUGCCCAGAUGUUUAUUUUAGAGGUGGUUUUGUAGGGAGCCUUUCUGCUAAAAUAGGCUUUAUCCUCGCAAUUAUUUUCACUCUGGGGACCCUUCUUUGCUUUUGGAUGAUAGUGUUUGUUCUCUAAUCUUAAGCAUCCUAGACUUUAAUAAAAUCAUGGUACCUAUAAUAAAUUACACAAAGAAAUGACACUUCUGGAGUUCCCGUCGUGGCUCAGAGGGAAUGAACCCAACUGGAAAAGGAGACAGGAAGGAAAGAACAGAAAAGGGGGGAAAAAAGAAGAAGAAAGGAAAAGAAAACAUUUUGGGGCUUUCCUGUCUUGGCGCAGAGGAAACACAUCCAACUGGGAACCAUGGGGUUGCCAGUUUGAUCCCUGGCCUCGCUCAGUGGGUUAAGGAUCCGGCAUUGCUGUGAGCUGUGCUGUAGGUUGCAGGCUUGGCUCGGAUCUGGCGUUGCUACGGCUUGGCAUAGGCCAGCAGCUGCAGCUCCUAUUAGACCCCUGGCCUGGGACCCUCCAUGUGCUGUGGUUGCAGCCCUCAAAAGACAAAAAGAAAAAAGAUUUUGACCAUUACAUCAUACAAUAUAAAAAAUUAACUUGAGGUGUUCCCUUGUGGCUCAGUGGGUUAAGGAUCUGGAAUUGUUUCUGCUGUGGCUCUGGUUACAGCUGUGGCAAGGAUUUGAUCCCUGGACCAGGAACUUCUGCAUGCCAUGGGCACAGUCAAAAAAAAAUUAACUUGAAAUGGAUAUUAAACCUACAUGUAAGAAGCAAGCUAUAGAAAUUCCAUUAAAAAACAUAGAAUGAAAUCUGAAUGACCUUGGGUUUGGAAGAUAUUUCUUAAAUGUUACUCAAAAAGCACAAAAUAUAACAGGAAAAAAAAUCAAUGAAUUGGACUUCAUCCAUAUCAAAAAUGUGUGCUCUUCAAAAGGUAUUAUUGGAGUUCCCUGGUGGCCCAGCAGUUAAGGAUCUGGUGUUGUCACUGCUGUGGCUUGGGUUUGAUCCCUGGCCUGGAAGCUUCUGCAUGCCAUGGGCUCAGCCAAAAAAAAGAAAGAUAUUAAGAAAAUGAGGGAGGUCUCAUUACGGCUCUGCUCAGUGGGUUAAGAUCCCAGCAGAGUGUCCAUAAGGAUUUGGGUUUGAUCCGUGGCCAUGAUCAGUGGGUUAAGGAUCUGGCAUUGUCACAGGCUGUGGCAUCAGUGGCAGAUGUGGCUUGGAUCCCGUGUUGCUGUGGCUAUGGUGUAGGCCUCAGGUGCAGCUCCAAUUUGACCCCCAGCCUGGGUCCAUAUGCCGCAGGUGGGACCCUAAAAA